AUUGAACGCUGGCGGCAGGCCUAACACAUGCAAGUCGAGCGGCAGCGGGAAAGUAGCUUGCUACUUUUGCCGGCGAGCGGCGGACGGGUGAGUAAUGCCUGGGGAUCUGCCCAGUCGAGGGGGAUAACUACUGGAAACGGUAGCUAAUACCGCAUACGCCCUACGGGGGAAAGCAGGGGACCUUCGGGCCUUGCGCGAUGGGAUGAACCCGGGUGGGAUUAGCUAGUUGGUGAGGUAAUGGCUCACCAAGGCGACGAUCCCUAGCUGGUCUGAGAGGAUGAUCAGCCACACUGGAACUGAGACACGGUCCAGACUCCUACGGGAGGCAGCAGUGGGGAAUAUUGCACAAUGGGGGAAACCCUGAUGCAGCCAUGCCGCGUGUGUGAAGAAGGCCUUCGGGUUGUAAAGCACUUUCAGCGAGGAGGAAAGGUUGGUAGCUAAUAACUGCCAGCUGUGACGUUACUCGCAGAAGAAGCACCGGCUAACUACGUGCCAGCCGCCGCAGUAA
rnacentral:rRNA from 1 species